CCUACGGGGGGCAGCAGUGAGGAAUAUUGGUCAAUGGGCUUACGCCUGAACCAGCCAAGUCGCGUGAGGGAAGACUGCCCUAUGGGUUGUAAACCUCUUUUGUCAGGGAGCAACGCCGGCUACGUGUAGCCGGACUGAGGGUACCUGAAGAAAAAGCAUCGGCUGACUCCGUGCCAGCAGCCGCGGUAAUACGGAGGAUGCGAGCGUUAUCCGGAUUUAUUGGGUUUAAAGGGUGCGCAGGCGGCCUGUUAAGUCAGCGGUAAAAGCCCGGGGCUCAACCCCGGCGAGCCGUUGAACCUGGCGGG
rnacentral:rRNA from 1 species